UCAAAUUAAACAUAGGUUAACUCGGUCAGUGCAUCGUCGUGCAUCGUGGACGCAUAAUUGAGUAUUUUAUCGUGUAUGUUUGAAAUGCAAGAUAUUUCCUUUAUUGAAGUGUUAUUUAUUAAUUGCUUUUAUAUUUAGUGCUAAAUCAGUUGUAGAAAUUAGUUAAACAGUCAGCUGGAAAAGUAUUUAAUAUGAAACCGGCAAACAAGUCAUUUGCAGUAUAUAGGCCGCCUUCAAUGCAAAGUCUGUUCAUGUAUUGUGAUAAUUGAUUUAUCAUGUAAUAAUUGAAAUUUCUAACACACCAGUCAGAAACAUAACCUCAAUUCAGUGAUAUAUGAAUAAAGAGAAGAAAUUCACAUAUUUAAUACGAAACCAGCAAAGUAUAUAGGUCAUGUGCAAUGCAAAUUCUGUUUAUGUAUUGUGAUAAUUGAUUUAUCACAUAAUUAUUGAAAUUUCUGACAGACCAGUCAAAAAUCACAUAACCUCAAUUCAGUGAUAUGAUAUGAAUAUUAUAGAGAAAGAGUGCUCAUAACCCCUAUGGGUUAUGUCAAAAUGGAAUUCAAACUAGGGAAAUUUGCUCUAAUCAAGAAGAUA